ACACGUCGAAGCUGUCAAUGCCAAGUGUGCCUCCCUGGAAAGACAAAGCAGAGGCUGCAGAAUGAAGUGGAGGACCUGAUGAUUGAUGUGGAGCGAUCCAAUGCUGCCUGCGCUGCUCUGGACAAGAAGCAGAAGAACUUUGACAAGAUCCUGGCAGAAUGGAAGCAGAAGUAUGAGG